rnacentral:tRNA from 1 species
GCGAAUGUAGCCAAGUGGAUCAAAGCAGUGGAUUGUAAAUCCACCAUGCACAGGUUCAAUUCAGUCGUUCAUU